rnacentral:rRNA from 1 species
AGGGCGUAUGGGGGAUGCCUGUGGCUCUCAGAGGCGAAGAAGGACGUGAUAAGCUGCGAAAAGCUGCGGGGAUUGGCACACACGAGUUGAUCCGCAGAUAUCCGAAUGGGGCAACCCACUAUAUUGAAGAUAUAGUAUCCGAUAGGAGGCAAACCCGCUGAACUGAAACAUCUAAGUAGGCGGAGGAGAAGAAAACAAAAGUGAUUCCGUAAGUAGUGGCGAGCGAAAGCGGAACAGCCCAAACCAGAGUUGUUACGGCAAUUGUGGGGUUGUAGGACUGCGAUAUUCUAUGCAAAGUGAAUUGGAAGCAUCUGGAAAGUUGCACCAAAGGGGGUGAUAGUCCCGUACAAGUAAGCGAUGUAAUAGAUAGCAGUAUCCUGAGUAGGGCGGGGCACGUGAAACCCUGUCUGAAUCCGGCGGGACCAUCCGCCAAGGCUAAAUACUCCUGAGAGACCGAUAGUGAACCAGUACCGUGAGGGAAAGGUGAAAAGAACCGUGAAUAACGGAGUGAAAUAGAUCCUGAAACCAUACGCCUACAAGCGGUCGGAGCCCUAUUAAGGGGUGACGGCGUGCCUUUUGCAUAAUGAGCCUACGAGUUACCGUUGCUGGCAAGGAUAAGUACUUAAGGUAUGGAUCCGUAGCGAAAGCGAGUCUGAAUAGGGCGCCAUAGUCAGUAAUGGUAGACGCGAAACCGUGUGAUCUACCCAUGGGCAGGAUGAAGCUGUGGUAACACACAGUGGAGGUCCGAACCGGUUGACGUUGAAAAGUCUUCGGAUGACCUGUGGGUAGGGGUGAAAGGCCAAUCAAACUCGGAAAUAGCUCGUACUCCCCGAAAUGCAUUUAGGUGCAGCGCUGGCUUAGUUUAUUAGAGGUAGAGCUACUGAUUGGAUGCGGGGGCUUCACCGCCUACCAAUUCCUGACAAACUCCGAAUGCUAAUAAAUAAUUACCAGUAGUGAGGGCAUGGGUGCUAAGGUCCAUGUCCGAGAGGGAAAGAACCCAGACCAUCAGCUAAGGUCCCCAAAUGUAUGCUAAGUUGAAAAAACGAGGUUUGUCUGCCCAGACAGCUAGGAUGUUGGCUUGGAAGCAGCCAUUCAUUUAAAGAGUGCGUAACAGCUCACUAGUCGAGCGGACGAGCAUGGAUAAUAAUCGGGCAUAAGCAUACUACCGAAGCUAUGGAUUUUAGUUUAUACUAGAGUGGUAGGGGAGCAUUCUGUUCAGCGUCGAAGGUGUGAUGCGAGUCAUGCUGGAGCGUACAGAAAAGAAAAUGUAGGCAUAAGUAACGAUAAUGCGGGCGAGAAACCCGCACACCGAAAGACUAAGGUUUCCUCAGCUAUGCUAAUCAGCUGAGGGUUAGUCGGGACCUAAGGCGAACCCGAAAGGGACAGUCGAUGGCCAACGGGUUAAUAUUCCCGUACUUCUUAUAAUUGUGAUGGGGCGACGGAGUGAUGAAAGCACCGCGAACUGACGGAAUAGUUCGUUAAAGUACCUAGCUAUAGGUCUUGUAGUAAAAUGCGCAGGACUUGGUGAAAUACGAUAGUACUCAGAGCCUUCGGGCAACGAGAUAGUGUGCCUAAGGGCUUCCAAGAAAAACCUCUAAACUUAGAUUAUAAGAACCCGUACCGUAAACCGACACAGGUAGUCGAGGAGAGAAUCCUAAGGUGCUCGAGAGAUUCAUGGCUAAGGAAUUAGGCAAAAUAGACCUGUAACUUCGGGAGAAAGGUCGCCAGCAGCAAUGCUGGCCGCAGUGAAAAGGUCCAGGCGACUGUUUAUCAAAAACACAGGGCUCUGCUAAAUCGUAAGAUGAUGUAUAGGGCCUGACACCUGCCCGGUGCUGGAAGGUUAAGAGGAGAUGUUAUCUUCGGAGAAGCAUUGAAUUGAAGCCCCAGUAAACGGCGGCCGUAACUAUAACGGUCCUAAGGUAGCGAAAUUCCUUGUCGGGUAAGUUCCGACCUGCACGAAUGGUGUAACGAUCUGGACACUGUCUCAGCCAUGAGCUCGGUGAAAUUGUAGUAUCGGUGAAGAUGCCGAUUACCCGCAGUGGGACGAAAAGACCCUGUGCACCUUUACUAUAGCUUAGUAUUGACCUUGGAUAAGUGAUGUGUAGGAUAGGUGGGAGAUUCCAACUGCGAUCGCCAAUUAGCUGUUGACAAUCCCUGACAAAGAAGCGAUUAUCUUCAUUCUCAUACAGUUCACG